UACGGGGGGGGCAAGCGUUGUUCGGAAUUACUGGGCGUAAAGGGCUCGUAGGCGGCCAACUAAGUCAGACGUGAAAUCCCUCGGCUUAACCGGGGAACUGCGUCUGAUACUGGAUGGCUUGAGAUUGGGAGAGGGAUGCGGAAUUCCAGGUGUAGCGGUGAAAUGCGCAGAUAUCGGGAGGAACACCAAUGGCGAAGGCAGCUCGCUGGGACGGUACUGACGCUGAGACGCGAAAGCGUGGGGAGCAAACAGG
rnacentral:rRNA from 1 species